rnacentral:rRNA from 1 species
GAAGGGGGCUAGCGUUGCUCGGAAUUACUGGGCGUAAAGGGCGCGUAGGCGGACAUUUAAGUCAGGGGUGAAAUCCCAGAGCUCAACUCUGGAACUGCCUUUGAUACUGGGUGUCUUGAGUGUGAGAGAGGUAUGUGGAACUCCGAGUGUAGAGGUGAAAUUCGUAGAUAUUCGGAAGAACACCAGUGGCGAAGGCGACAUACUGGCUCAUUACUGACGCUGAGGCGCGAAAGCGUGGGGAGCAAACAGGAUUAGAUACCCUGGUAGUCCACGCCGUANANUAUUNCUACUAGGNGNNGGGCAGCAAAGCUGCUCNNNNCCCCNCCNCACGCAAUAAGUAGUCCACCUGGGGAGU